rnacentral:lncRNA from 1 species
UGACCACCGCUCACUCGUUGGCGAUAAUGCGGUCGUCGAUUCCGCCGAGCGCGGGGAGGUUCCGACCGGGAUACGCAAAGCACGUGUUGGGCCCGAUGCUGAAGUUUUUGAAGGAGACGAGAAUGCCCUUCAUGGUGAACCCGUAUCCCUAUUUCGCGUACAACGGGAAGAACGUGAACUUCCUUCUCUUCAGGCCCAACCGCGGCUUGUACGACAGGUACACCAAGCUCAGCUACACCAACCAGUUCGACGCGCUGCUGGAUGCGGUGCACUCCGCCAUGAAGGACCUGGGCUACGGCGACGUGGACAUCGUCGUCGGGGAAACGGGGUGGCCCUCCGUCUGCGACGG